GAUGAAGAACGCAGCGAAAUGCGAUACUUGGUGUGAAUUGCAGAAUCCCGUGAACCAUCGAGUCUUUGAACGCAAGUUGCGCCCGAAGCCAUUAGGCCGAGGGCACGCCUGCCUGGGCGUCACACGUCGUUGCCCCCCCAUCUACUCCUUCGGGAUUGCGGGGGGCGGAUGAUGGCCUCCCGUGCGCCUCGUCGCGCGGUUGGCAUAAAUGCCAAGUCCUCGGCGACGCACGCCACGACAAUCGGUGGUUGCGAAACCUCGGUUGCCCGUCGUGUGCGGUCGUCGCGCAUCGAGGGCUCGAAAAAAUUGCCGGGCUCCGGCUCGGCUUUCAACGCGACCCCAGGUCAGGCGGGGUUACCCGCUGAAUUUAAGCAUACAAUAAGCGGAGGA
rnacentral:misc_RNA from 1 species